UCGCGUGCCUCAUACUCAGUAAGGCAAAUACAAUUCCACGGUGACCAAUCUUCACCUUUCAACCAGCGCGGCAAACUGUCGAAGAAGUGUUUCUCGCUCAAGUCUUUCGUUCUGAUUACAGCACUCAUAAUUACCGCAAAUUGCUUAAUACCGCAUUCUUGCUAAGUAUUGAAUGACUAUGCCAAAUUUGGUCAAUAAUGUAACGUAUGUCAUCCAUUUGCAGUACGAAUGCGAAUGAGGCGUUGCUGCGGCGCUUGCGUUCGUCUCGCUGAAUGGCUCGCAAUAUGGCCGCAUACGUCUUGUUGUCAGUCGAGGCCAGCUAAGAAUGGCAAUAGAAAAGUACUCGAAUUGCCGUCGAUAUGCUAUACCAUCUCCAAAGAGUCUUGCAUGCCCUCCGGCUAGUUCACCUCAUGUUUACCGUGCUGGUGUUGUUGCUUGGCUCAACAAAUGCCGCUGGCGGUAGUAUACCAUCAACGCAUAAGAACUCAUCGCCACAACAGCAGAUAGCCACACAGCAACAACAACAGUCACACCUGCCACAACA